ensembl:lncRNA
UUGCAAUGCCCUGGUGGCUGCCCGGUGCCCCAUGAAGCUCAGCAUCAGUACUUCUCUGUUGCUUGCAGGUCACAAUUGACAGCAGCAGUUUAAUUAAACAAAAGCAGCACGGCUGUUUCUUGCUAAAGCAGCAGACCCUAAUCAUCUGCUAGAAAUGGAUUCCUCCCCCUCUCACUGAGGAUAAACACUUGGAGCACUUGCAAAUUCUGAUAAGCGGGUGAACUGGAAAGGACGGGACUGUGCCAGACGAGGUGAACUGCCUGCAGUGGGGAGGCUCCCUCCUGCCCCUGGAAAUGCGGAUGAGAAAAUAGAACACAAAGAUGAACAAACCUCAGGGGAACAUGUUCAGGCUGUAAAAAUACUGACGCAGUAUCAAGAUAUCUGGAAGCACUCUUGGAAUACCCUGUGAGUCAUGGGCGCUGUAUAUUACAUGGUCAACGCUUAUUCAACAAAAGUAAUUUCUCAUGUGAGACCACGGGAAUCAGAGAAAUUGGCUUUGCACCAAGGUGCCUGAUUCAGCAAGAUGUUACCAGCGCAGAGGCUCUGCUGCUGUGCUCCAGCUUUUAAACACCGGGAGAGGGGAAGUAAUCAGCACGAGGAGAAAACAGGAGAUCCCUUACAGCUCUGUGCAUGGCAGUUUUUAACUCUGUGACUGGAGGAGGAAUAAUACAUGACACGGAAGGAGAAAUGCUGGGCACUGGAGUGCACACAGAACGUCCCAGCGACCUCCAAUUCCCUGCCAAAGGCACAGGGGUGAAAGACGUGGAUUUUAUCAUGUUCCUGGAGAGAGACAUCUUAAAUAUAUGAAGCAGAGGAGAAAAGAUUACUGCAGCACAAAGCAACACUCUUCCCUCCUCACUCACAAAAGCCAUAGGCAACAAUUGAGCCGUGCACAUGGGAAGGUUUAUUUUCUUCAUGAAAACGAGUGAUUUAAAUAAGAGCCAGAACCAGCCAAAUGCUGAGCCCCUUGGCUGCCAGCUCACAUGGAUGUACCGUGGCUGUGAAGAGCCCUUGGUUGGUGCCACACACUUGAGAGGAGGAGCAAUGCAAAUUGGCACACGUGAGCUCUUUCUGGUGCCAAUUGGAACCCAUCUCCACUUUCUUCUAAAUCCCAACUCCUCGCUCGUAUUCUUUUAGAGGAUCACAGAGCACUGAGCACGGAGCUGAAAAGCUUCGCCUGCCCUAGGAGCUAAAGGCACAUAUUUCCAAAAGCAGCAGGCUGCAACCAGCUCCAAGCCCUCUUGUUGCAUGCAGAGCCACAAAAGCAUUAUGGUAACUCUGAGCACUGAACCAUUUAAAAUCUAUUUUAAUUGAUUUCUGGCUACUUUGUGAUUCCAGCAUGUUGUUAGAUGAGUGGUAGAUAAAAGUAGCAGGAGGUAACAACUUCUGUGGGGAGAUCAUGCCUAAAAUACGGCGUUCAACUCUGGGUACCUCAUUGCCAGAGAGAUGCAGACAAAUUGGAAAGAAUUCAUAGAAGAGCAUUAAAAAUGAUUAAGGGUCUGAAGAGACUGAGUUAUGAGCGAAGAUUAAAGGAACUUAAUAUGAAUCACUUGGCUAAAUGAUGACUAAGAGGGAAACGAUACCCUUCAACAAGUACUUGGAGGGCAUAAAUAUCACAAAUAAAAAGGAAUUAUUUAGGGCUCUGAAGGACAUACCACUUGGGAUAAAAGGAUGGUGUUAGGCAAAGGGAAACUGGCUCUGAACAUACAUCGUUAAAGUCUAACAGGCCAUUUAUGGGAAACUAAAUCCCGACACAUUUAUCUAACCCUGCUGCAGUGUUAAUUUUUGCCUAUGAUAGCAAAAGAAAUCCCAUUGUCUUCAGUUAGAUGCAGUCCAAGGUUGUAUGGGAAAGAGGCAUCGCUCCCAAUGGCAAGUUGGGAAAACAGCAAAGAAGAAACAUUCAGAGCUUUUGAAGAGCCACUGUGCAGCUGGAAGAAGUGCCAAAAGGGAAGAAAUGCCACGGUGUGGCAGCCCUGACCCCAGCCUGUCUUAGAAAGCAGCUGUGCAUUGAGCAGGAUUGAAUAUCAGCAAGAAAUCGGACUUGGCCAUGCCUUGAUCAGCAGAGCGGAUCAGAGGGACAGCGCUGUGAUUCCUAAAACUGCUACCACGUAUAUCUACAUACAUCACCUUGUGGUUCUUUGGGCUUACUGCAUGGAAACUGCCCGGCUGCAGCCAGAGGUCCCCACCCAGGGGGCAAUCCCAACCUGACAGCUCCUGCAGAUCGGGGCUCUCAGCCUUUCUCACUGCAGACACCCAAGGUCAGGGGAUGGGCUCUGAGUGCCUGAUGGAGCUGUGGGCAUCCCUGUGCAUUGCAGGGGGUUGGACUAGAUGGCUUUUAGAGGUCCCUUCCAACUCAACCAUGGCUUGAGAAAGGCUUUGGAAACUGUGCCUGGGGGAGGGAGGUCAUGGGAAAAGGGCUGCCCCAAGAGCUGCAGGAGGAGGAAGCAAAAGCCUCUGGGGUGGUAAUGGGCAAUGAACUUCUCCAUUCAGUGCAUGAGGCACAGAGCAGAAAAAUCAACAUUUCUGCCUCUCUUUGCAAGGUGCUGACAGUACAGUGCAGCCCAUUUCCCCAGAUUAGUAUCCCAUCAAAACUGUGCUCUGAGGACACAUUCCAACUGGUUUAUCACAAAGUUACAUCUGGCUGUAAAUGUGCAGCUCUGCUGUGGGCAAACCCAGCCAGUGAGCCUCUCGUCCAGGCCUCUGCCCCCAGCACAGUCAGCAGCUUGUGAUGACAAUGGGGAAGGACUGCCUUGCCUUAAAAAAAUCACCUUUCACCUUCAUACAUGUGCACUCCCAGCUGUACUUUUCAAUGGGAAAGAGGGCUGUCCCACCUUUUUCUUCCAGAUAAGCUUGCUCAGAGCUAAGGUAUAUGUUUAAACUUGUUUGAGAAGUGGGGUGAUCCUCUGUGUUGCAGGGUGAGCGUGGAAAGCAGCAGAAAUCACAUGAACAGAGGCGGAGAUCAGGAGGUUUUGUUUUAUGAAAACCAACCUUGAUGGAGACGAUGUUCCUAUGAUGUCUCUAUUGAAAUCUGUAUUGGAAUUGAAGGGAGAAUGUGGCACUGAGGGUCACGGUCAGUGGGCAUGGUGGGGAUGGGUUGGGGUUGGGCUUGAUAGUCUUAGAGGUCUUUUCCAACCUCGGUGCUUCUGUGAUUCUAUGAUCUUGAAUCAUGAGAAUCAAAGCCCAGGCUUGGCUGUAUAAAUUAUUUAUUCUAACUGCUCUUUUUUUUUUCCUAGUAUAAUUGUCUGCAAUAACAUAAUUAGUUGCUGGAGAGUGACUCACGAUGCCCAAACAUGUUGGAUUUCCCUCUCCACCUCACUAGAUAGCAUUGAAAACACACUGUGAAAAGACAACCUUCAGGUACCAUCUGGGACACUGUGGACGCUGCAGGGAAACGUUGACUCCAGGUGGCUGUCAGUAGGGAAUAGCACUACCGAGCAUUCCCCAAGGAACAAAGAUUUGGUUUUCCUGACGUUUCUUUGAAACUGUUUAAAAUACAUAAAAAGGAAGGAAGGGAGUAUAAUUAGGUAGUGAUAUGGCUGCGUGGAAUUGCAGUUCAGAGCAUCUCACGAGGCCUAAAAAGGCCAUGAAGGGCAGCAUGUUCAACCCAAGGCAGGAAUGUGGGGUGUGUGUGAACAUUCCCAAAGUCACAGGUUUCCCUCAGUCAGCUGUUCUGCUCUGGGAGGAUUUUACAAUGAAGAAUCAGUGAGAUUCCAACAUGACCCGAGCAGAGGUUCUCUGAUCCAUCCUGAGCUCACAUACACCCCAGGGAAGGAAAUCUGUGGAUGUGUGUUUUUAAGUCCAUCCCUUAAUUAUCUACAUGUGGUCUCACAGGUGUAUAAUCAAUCACCCAUUGGAAAUUCUUAACCUGCUUGGCUCCAAAUCCUAAGUAUACUUUAGAAGGCUUUGUUUAGUGUUUUACUAUUGCAUUAUAUAUGGUUUCCCA